UAACUUUUUAAUAGCCUUGGCGGACUCAGUUGGGAUAGCCCUCGGCCAAGGUAUCCCUGAUAAGUGAGUAUGAGAAUGGUUUUGGCACAAGCCAAAGUUUUAAGAAAUUCAUAAGCCAUGUUGAUUACUCUAUUUAUAUGAAUUGAUUUUAUUUGGUUAAAAUGAGUCGAAAGGUGAUAAAUUACAAUAUGAUGAUCUAUUUUAAUCUGUCUCCAUUUACUCAGCUUUAGAUAUUUUAGAUGGUAUUUGUUUACUCACUGAGAUUAUAUAAUCUCACCACCCUCCUUUCUACCCAUUUCAAGCUCAGGAUAGUCGGUGGAUAGCUCAUUUCGUUGAGGGCUACAGUUGGACUUGCAUCCUCAAAAACUGUAGGUUCAUAGCCUUCAUUACUUUUGGUCGUUCAUAGGGCUAUGUGUCACUGUAAAUUAAAUUUUAUACUUUGGUUAUCUGUAUUACAGUAUGUAUGAAUUUAUUUAACUUUUAUGCUACAAAAAUUAUUUAUCGGUAACUUUAUAAAUAUUAUUUUAUAAGAAAAUAGAAUAUUUUAU
rnacentral:lncRNA from 1 species